UCUCGUGGCGGAAUUGCUACAGAAGUAACAUGAGUGUGAAAGAUUCAUUCAUCAUCGCAAACCCUUGUCAGUACUGUGGGGAAAAUGUGCUGUUAGGUUUCUGUGAUUUCUGCAAAGAGGACAGCAAACUUUUAUUUGUUCGAUCUAAUUUUAUUGUUAACCAAACUGCACAAAUGUAAAAAGAGAGCUUUAGCGCUCUCUAAGUUGAAUCAUGAAAUGAACGGACGUCGCCGGUACUGUAAGUGUAACUGUACAUCAUCAUCAUCACCACCACGGUCCAGGACUCCACCAAAUGAAGCAAUUAAAACUGUUAGUUAGUGUGUAAGUCGUUCAUGUUGGCUAAUCAAAAGUGUAAUCUGCAUUCGUACUGUCCUGGCUCCUUUCUUCUUUUCACAGAAUCAGUCUUCAUCUGAUCCCGUCUUUGCCGCCGUAUUUUUGUACUCUUGUGUUGCGUGAAGGACGGACGUUUGUCGCACGUGGAGUUACGUCAUCCACACGCGACCGCAGCGCUCAGCAGCAACGGCCGAGCGGGGUUACCGUGCGGCGUGAUGUUGCACGUGAUAUAAAUAAGAAAUCAACAAUAGUAGUUGCUCAUGAUGCAGCCUGUGGCCGCCGACACGCUGCACGGCCUCGUUCUGUCGGUCGGCCGCGCACACGGAGCCCGAGUCGCCGUGACCUUCGAUGCCGGGGGAGCCCGGGGCUCCGAGUCCGAGUCCGAGUCGCUGUCCUACUCAGAGCUGCUGAGCGCAGCCGAGCGCUUGUCGGGGCUCCUGAGGGCCCGCGGUCCCCCGGAGGAGCGUCUCUUCGGCCUGUACUGCGAGCCGGGGCUCCGAGUGCCUGCCUGGAUCCUCGGGAUCCUGCAGGUACCAGCUGCGUAUGUCCCCCUGGACCCGGAGGGUGCACCUGUGCAGUCUGUACGAGUGAUGGAGCAGAGCGGUCUGAACUAUUGUGUGGUGCAGAGACACCUGGUACAGCGGUUCAAUGCUCGUUUUUCGAGCCUCGUCUCGAUGGAGGUGUGUGCUGAGUGGCAGAGCGAGGACAUCACCCUGUUCAGGAUCCACAGAGGUGCUGCUGCUCAACAGCCAGGCCAUGAGGGGGUGCCACUGAGCCUCCUGUCUGCUGCACAAUCCCACCUGGCAGGGCAGCAAGGGCUGGCAUACGUGCUGCACACCUCCGGAACGACCGGGUGGCCCAAGACAGUAAGGGUGCCACACGAGUGCAUCGUGCCUAACAUCAUCCACAUCAGGUCUCUUUUCCAGGUGACUGCUGAGGACAUCAUUUUUAUGGCCUCCCCGCUGACCUUUGACCCUUCUGUGGUGGAUAUGUUUGUAGCACUGUCUUCGGGGGCGCGUCUGCUCAUUGUGCCCACCAUCACUAAGCGGAACCCCAACAAACUGGCUGCCACCCUCUUCAAGAAGCAUCAGAAUACCAUUUUACAGGCCACACCCACUCUUGUGUGCAAGUUUGGGAGACGUGUCCUGCGGGAGCUGGUGCUGUCAGCGCACUCCCCCCUGCGAGUGCUGGCCCUCGGGGGCGAGCCGUGUCCCUCCCUGGCUGUGCUGAGGAGCUGGAGGCAGGAGGGCAACAGGACGCGUGUGUUCAACCUGUACGGGACCACGGAGACGUCCUGCUGGAGCUGCUGCUAUGAGGUCCCUCAAGAACAACUCUUGGCGACUGCCACGGGAGAGCUCUCUGUGCCACUUGGAACCCCGCUGAUGGGCACCGCUGUUGAAGUCAGAGACGAAACGGGCCGUGUUCUCACUGAGGGCGAAGGUCAGGUGUACACAGGAGGGGAACGCAGAGUGUGUUUGCUGGGAGGUGAAGUGACGGUGGCAGCAGGAACGAUGCGGGCCACAGGCGACUGGGUGGACUUGCGUGACUCUCAGCUCUUCUACAUGGGCAGGAAGGACUGCCUGGUGAAACGCAAUGGCCAGAGGUUGUACCUGGAUGCUGUUCAUCACGCACUGGAAAGCCUGCCGCAGGUGGACGCCUGUGCGGUGAUUCUGUGUGAAGGGAGGCUGCUGGCCUUUGUCGUGUCGGACUUCCACGGGACCGAUAUCCUUUCUUCGAGGGCGCUCCAGGGGGACAUACUGCGCUCGCUGUCCCAUCUUCUGCCUGCUCACGGCAUCCCGGAUUCGCUGAUCAUGUUGCCUUUCCUCCCUUUGACCGCACAUGGAAAGGUGUCCACAGACAAGCUGCUGAAGGUGUACCAGAAACGGAGGACGGUGUCUCUUGGCACGCUGGCAGAUGGCCGUGCUGUGCUUCAGGAGCUCAGGGCUCUGUGGAGGGAAGCCCUGGGUCUUGCAGAUGAUGCUGAUGUCAGCAGUGAUGCCAACUUCCUGCUCAGCGGUGGAGAUUCUCUGCAGUGCCUGCGUCUCCUUGAUGCAAUUACCUUCUCCAUGGACUUGGACCCAACCAAGCUGCUGGAGGUCCUCCUUAACAGCUCCUUCUCUGAUGUCGUAUCUUGUGUUACCACGGCGUUGUUCUCCAAGGAGAGGAGGAAGUCUGCUCCAUCAGCAGACCAGGGAUCUCCAGCUCAUAUCUUCUCACUAGAACCAGACAAAGUACCCCCAACACAACCUUUGAGUCCAGAGUCAUCCAGGGAGCACCCAACAAAGGUCCUCAAUAGCUGCUCCAAACAGCGUCCCUCUCUGCCCUCAUCCAAGAGACCCUCGUCACCCGGUGCGUUUCCAGAACGAGCCAAACGACUCGCUGCUGCCAGAAGGAGGCCAAUGGGAUUUGUCAUGUUGAGGAGAGCAGGAGAAGUUGUUGAGGUGGGUCUUUCCGUGCUCUCGCUGAAGAGCGAAGACAACGCUGUUUUAGGGAGGGCCCCAUCACACACCACAGCCCAGAGGGACAGAGUGGGAGCAGCUGAGCUGAGUUUGCGAGUACGGUGGACUUCAGACACAGGUCGUUGUGUAGAUGCUUCCCCAGUGCUGCUGGUGACCCGAGUGGACAACACCUUGGACCGUACUGAAGCCACGGUCUACAUCGGCUCACAUUCCCAUAGGUUGCAGGCUCUUGACUUCUCCACGGGGAACCUGCGAUGGGAAAGGGUCCUGGGGGGCCGCAUCGAGUCGUCAGUAGCAGUCACCAGGUGUGGAGGCUUCGUGGUUGUCGGAUGCUACGACGGCAACGUGUACUUCGUGUGCGCCGACACGGGGGACACGCACUGGGUCUUUGGCACCGGGGAUGCCGUCAAGAGCUGUCCCACGGCGGAUCCUCUGAGUGGCCUCAUCAUUGUUGGAUCGCACGAUGGUCACAUCUACGCCCUUGACCUGGAGGUUUUUGUCUUUUUCGUUCAGUUUCUUUGUUAAUCCCCAAAGAGCAAAACGGAAUUUAUAUGGAUCUUACAUGUACACAUCACUGUAAAUCUCUGAUGAGUCAGUGACACAAAGGCAGUGAACCCCAUGUAGUUAUAUACUGAUGACCCCACUGCCCCCCCAUUCAUGCGAUCUGAGAUUAUUAAUAUUGAUUAUUGUUGGUAAGGAUUUUCAUGUUUUGUCCUUUAUAUGCUUUGUGACAUGCAGGAGAGACUGUGAGACCACUGUGCUUUAAUUUUAUUAUUUAAUUUAAUUUUAUUUAAAUGAGAUAUACAACCCUUGUUUUCCUCUAGUCACUCUAGACACACUACCAGGGUAAGUAUACUUUAUAAAAUUAUAUAUAUAUAUAUUGGCUCACCAUUACCCGGUAAACCUAGAUUGUGCACUCUGGGAGGGGGGGGUCGGUCCUCAAGCCAUCAGGAGCAGCAGUGAGGGGGCCAAGAAUAAAAAUAGAAACUAUAAACUACUAUUAACUAAUAAUUAUUUCUGUAUUUAUUUGUAAUUUAGUAGAAUAAGAAAAAGUGAAACAUAAAAUACAGUGAAAUUAAAGGAAAACUCAUUGUUAGUACCUGUGUUCCGAAUAUCGACUUUAAAAAAAAAAAAAAAAAAAAUCAGACGCAGAGGAGUGCGGAACCUCUUUAGAUACAGGCCCAUGUUUGCUGCUAUAAUCGUGUACGCGAUUCCAAAAAGGGAAUGGCAUAACUUUUAAAAUUAUUUUCUGUGAAUGAAGUGCUGGACAAGACUAUGAAAAAGUAAAACUGCGUGUGUGUGUGUGUAUAUAUAUAUAUAUAUAUAUAUAUAUAUAUAUAUAAAUUUUUUUUUAAUUUAAAAAAAUUGUAAUAUUGUAAUUUAUUUUAACAAUGCUACUUUUCUCUAAUGAUAUUGGGCAGCAUUUAGGGGGAUUUUCACUGUAAAGAGGCAGAAGGUAAAAGUGCACUUUUUACCAGGCACCUUUAAUGCGUGGUGCCUUCCAGGAGCUUCCGCUGUGUUUGUGGGGAAGUCGUGUCCCCAUUCUCCGUCACUGAUUUUCCAUACACAAGUGUGUGUCGAAUUUCCGUGUGUGGUUUUAGGAUUGCUGCUGCACAUGGAAGCGUUCAUGUGGGAGUGGAGGAGUUUUCUCGUCUCCCUGUCUCCACCCAUCCCAGAGGCAGCUGUAUGUCGCAACUCUGGGUGGCCGACUGCUGUCCCUUAAUACCGACACCGGCGGUAUCCUGUGGACACAUUCCAGAAAGGUGCCCUUUUUCUCGUCUCCCUGCUGCCUCCGCAGCUGUGUGUGCAUUGGCUCUGUGGACGGCAGCAUCUGCGGCUUCAGCCACGAGGGCGACGCGCUGUGGCACUUCUCCACAAACGCACCCGUUUUCUCGUCCCCAUGUCCCGUGCCAUGCUCUGCCAACCAGAGGCUUGCAUGUGGCUCGCAUGACGGC